rnacentral:lncRNA from 10 species
UCAUCCCAAGGCAAUGGAUAAGAUAGUAAAAAGGACUGACCUGGACCACUGAGGCUUAACUUGGAGCAGUCCGAUGGUGCCUCAGGCAUGACUGAAUACCCAGGCUUAGGGAAGAUGCUUCUAUCAUGCAAUUAUGUGCUGUUGGAUUACUCCAUGGAUGCUCAUCAAUCAAGAUUGUCUGAGGAUGUGAGGAUAAGUGGGUGUUCUGAAAGCUUUGGAAAUACCCACCAUAAAUCAUUCUUGGAAGAGAGGACAAAAAACAUGGGCUAAAAAGGAAAAUCUUACACUCUGGUGAUGAGGGUUUUUUCCCCCUCUCUGAAUUUGUGGUUAUCACCUUGGAUUCCAAGUAGAGAAUAUAUCGUUCUACAGAAGUAAUUCACCCCCAGCUUCAGAGCAGUUGUCAGGGACCUGGACAAAGACACCCUAUUUGAUCUAUGAAUGAGUCUGGAUUUAAAUCUACAUGCUUGUGGGCUGAUCACAUCUAGCAGCACUUUACUACCUGUGCCGUACUUACAUUUCUUCCAUUAUUCUUGAACUUUUGCAAAAACUGUUUAAAUAUGGAAAACUGUUCCAGCUAUCAUUGUUGAAAAUUAGGGAAAGUGUUUGUCCCCUCAUAUGGAACAAAAGUAAUCUUAGAUUUUUGUCUGUACAUAGGUACUUCAGAAACUGUUGAAGUGGUCAGCAGUGGAGCCAGCCAAAUGGAUGGUUGAGCCACAAGAGACAUCAUUACAGAUGUGUGAAAUAUAUAAGCCUGUUCUGGGGAAUCCAAAAAGUAUUUGAGGAAGUAAGAUGAAUGAACAAAUCAAUAAAACUAAAAAGGAAAGGAAAGGAAAGGAGGAAAGAAAGAAAAAGAAAUAAAGAAGAAAGAAAGAAAGAAAGAAAAAGAAAAAGAAAGAAAGAAAAAGAAGGAAAGAAAGAAGGAAAGAGAAAGAAAGAAAGAAAUGUACUUACUAUAGAGUAGAGAGAUGGGAACUUGAAUCAUUGUCACUUAAGGACUGACAAAUAAGACGACCUUGUUUUGUGGUUAUAAGAUGGAAAAUACUUUGUCAUAUCUAAAUAUGUUCACUUUAUUCUAUUCUUUUGUAGGAGAUAGCCAUCAAGGUUUGGUUUCUCUGUUCUUGGAUAGCUUCUUACUGAAAGUGGAAAUGUACUAGACAGAUUCCUACUCUUUAUAGUACCAACCUGGGUAGGGGCUGAGGGAUAAGAGUAAAAAUAUGAGGUUCUUGAAAUUCAGAUUGCAUUCUUUUCUCCUUCCAUUUAUUUAUAUGUAAGUGAAAUCUGCUUAAAACAAACAUCAAGGGCACCUUCCUAGGUGAAAAGAAUUAUAAGGGUUCUCAAAAAUGGGCAAUUUGUAGGCAAGCAAG